rnacentral:miRNA from 1 species
UUACGUUGGUGCAAAAGUAAUUGCAGUUUUUGCCAUUGAAAGUAAUGGCAAAAACCAUAAUUACUUUUGUACCAAUCUAAUA